ACGGUUGCCACGAAGAUCUUCAUUCUGUACAGAAUAACAAUGAUUAAACUGAAACAAAUCAGAGAUUGAUGACGUGCAUGCCAUGAGCAGCCAGUGAUGCAAGACACAGAGUCAGAGGAAUGCAGCAUAUGAUGCAAUUGUUGGCAGUACAGAUAGCAGGUUGAUCUCCAAUGGGCAGCAGACAUGGAAAGAAUGUUGCAACCUGACGCCACUUCAGCGGUACAAAGUCUAUGGAUUCAUUUGACGACUGAGCCCCUAGAGCAGGAGAUCACUGACAGAACAGCAGCAGCGCUACAAGGGGUCUCAGCUGUCCGGUACAGCAGAGAGGAAGACAAGCUGAGACAAAAACAAAGACAAUGACACAGGAUGAGUGCCUACAGUUGUGUAACAAGAUGCUUAGUGCAAGUAUAGGAACAGUAGUUGACUCAGCUGGGAUCCGUGGAGGACAUGCCGUGACUGUUUCAUCAUGGCAACUCAUUUUCAGACAAGAUUGUUGCAGGUGCUGAUGCGUUACAUUAUGUUCAGCGAGGAUGCUGCCGAGCUGUGGGGGUUGGUACGCUCCGCGCAGCUGCUGUGGCAUCCAGACUGUUUCCUGCAGAAAUUUGAUCAGCAGGUUGGUGGAGAGAGACAGGAUAAGAUCAUCGAGAGGGUCACCCAGCUAUCACAGGUGCUGAACCUGUUAGGAUACUGGAUUGCAGAUGCUGAACCAGUAAGGAUACUGGAUUGCAGAUGCUGAACCAGUUAGGAUACUGGA
rnacentral:lncRNA from 1 species